rnacentral:lncRNA from 1 species
UCUAACUCACACACUCUCUCUAACGAUUGCUCUCCCUUCUCUCUAUAACCUUCUAGUUCUCUCAUUCUUCUCCAACGAGCUUCAUCGCCUCUCCAGCCAUGCUCCUUCCUCACUUCUCUCGACCUCUAGCCACUAUGGUAUCCUAUAUCGUUGCUUCUCUCCAAGGUUUGAAGUCCCAGAAGCUUCCACCAUGAAGAUGGUCACUGAAGCCUCGCCGGGGUCUGUUUUUGGCCUUUCUCCGAUGGAAUUUGGUUCGAUGAUGCUGAAAACACCAUUAUCCUUGAGCUUCACAUCCAGGUUUCUCUUACCUCUCUCACUGGUUUCUUAUGAAACCCUAAUCUUAACCUAAACCUCUCAAAUCUCUGAUUCUCUUAAUGAUUUUAACUCGCGCCUUCAUGUUUUGCACUAUUUUUUACAAGUACUCCGUUUUUAAACAAUUUUUCUCCCUUUUGAAUCUAGGGUUUCUCACCCCCUUUUGAAAUCAUUUUACUUCUAACUAUUUUGCUCAGGUCUGAUAAAACCUUAGCCUUAUAUGUUUAUGUUUGUGUUAUUUGCUUAUUUUUGCAUUUCUUCUGGGUCUUCUCUAAGUCAUGUUCUUUGCUUUAACUUUGAUUACUAGUGUUUCAUUCUCCUACCAUGUUGUGUUCUCCGUUCAAAAUUUUUAUUACAUUUUGCAUGAUGACAUUAUACCGAUGCAUACAAGCCAUUUUUUCCAAUUGUGAUACUUGCCAUAUAAUUAGAUUCCCGAUAUUGUCCUUAUUAUUUGGGAUUAAUUUCAAAAUUUCUUCCUCAGUCUGUGGGAUACUUUCUUCAACUACUGUUGGUCUCCUAGGCUUUCAAUCUCAUUCCUUAUAUUUGGGGAUUAUUUCCCAAAUUUUGAGUAGUAUCCCGCCCUUAUGUGUUCAUGAGUAUGUUGAUUGAUUUUCCUAACAUGUUUCCUUAAUUAGACUAUCAUAUACCUAGUCUCUAUUGCAUACUAUGCUAUUCUAUUCCUUAUGUGAUCAUACCUUGUGAUUUCCUUCCUUUUAACAGUUGCUUAUUACCGUGUAACUUUGAUUCCUUAAUUAAAGGGUAGUUCUUCUACUCAUUUGAUUAUGAUUGAUGCUAGUUCCUUAAUUAGGGAUUGCUACCUUGUUUGUUUACUCGUUAUUCAGUAAAAUAAGUACCCUCCCCCAUUCUCUUUGCAAGACACCAACAUAUUGCAUAUCACUUGGCACACACAGACAGAAAUACACCCAGUGUUCUGAACUCUCUCUUUCACACAAACAUCUUUGUGCUCUUUGUCUCUACACAAUUUUCUUUCACUUUUCCUGUUGAAUGCUAAUCACUCAAUUGGUUGCAAGCCAAAAUUAAGUAAUCUUGGUCAAUUUCACUCUGUUGGCCUUUACUGUGUUACUUGCUUUGGGUCUGCCUGCUGCUCACUUCUUGCAUACUGCUGCUUUGCUCUCUGUUUCUCUCUGCCCUACCUGCACAAAAUUGCUCACUACUUCUCUGUGUUUAUAUUAUUUUUCAAUUGGUAUGUAUCUUAUUUAAGUUAGCCUAAAAAACAACAUGUUUCUAUUAUUGCUGCACUUUCUUUUGUUCCUUGUGUGCUUCUACUUAUGGUUCUACUGCUCCUAUUGCAACUAGCAUGCAUCUGUGUUAAUUAGUAAGCUGAAUUAGUAAGCCUAGCAUAUUCAUUAUCCCCUUGCCUACCCCAAUUCAUGUUUCCCCUUUUCUUUUGUAUACUACUAGCAUCCUCUUAGCUACUUCAUAGCCCAAACUUUUUUGAGGAUGAUUUGGUUUGGUGUCUAGUGCUAUAAGAACCCCUAUUUUGAAGCAUGAACCUUCCUGUGUGUGAUUGAUUGUCUUGUUUGUGAGCUGUUUGUUCCCUUUUCCUUUACUUUUGCCUGUGUGACUGUUGCUUUCAAAAACAGCCUCAAAGUAAUUGUUUUCAUGCUUAGUUAAAAAUUUUCACUCUUCUAUUAUUUUUCUCCAACUGUCCCUCAUGUAAAACUUUUUUCCAACUCAACUCCUUCAAACCCUAUCACAAUCACACUACACUUAUAAUUAUGUUCUGUCCCUUUGUGUAAGCAUUUCUUUGGGUACCUUGAGUACCCACUGAACUUUGAUGCACAAGGUCAGAAAUUCCACGCAUGCACUUAUCAAUGGUGAUUUGUUUUGGGUGCCUGGUGUUUGUCGGGGUAUCAGGAGACCCCUAGGGAACUUUGUCGCACCUAAACUCUUGGUGAAGGUUCUGUAGCUCGAAAGAAUUGAGGUUGGAGGUCUGGGCCUGGCUGAAGGCUCGCAAUAGAAUAGCUUCUUGUUUACUCUUCACUACUGUAAUUG